rnacentral:rRNA from 1 species
GAGCGAACGCUGGCGGCAGGCUUAACACAUGCAAGUCGAGCGGGCGUAGCAAUACGUCAGCGGCAGACGGGUGAGUAACGCGUGGGAACGUACCUUUUGGUUCGGAACAACACAGGGAAACUUGUGCUAAUACCGGAUAAGCCCUUACGGGGAAAGAUUUAUCGCCGAAAGAUCGGCCCGCGUCUGAUUAGCUAGUUGGUGAGGUAACGGCUCACCAAGGCGACGAUCAGUAGCUGGUCUGAGAGGAUGAUCAGCCACAUUGGGACUGAGACACGGCCCAAACUCCUACGGGAGGCAGCAGUGGGGAAUAUUGGACAAUGGGCGCAAGCCUGAUCCAGCCAUGCCGNNUGAGUGAUGAAAGCCUAGGUUGUAAAGCUCUUUUGUGCGGAGAUAAUGACGGUA